rnacentral:rRNA from 1 species
GAAAGGUUUGGUCCUAGCCUUAUUAUCAAUUUUUUCUUAAAUUACACAUGCAAGUCUCAGCACACCCGUGAGGACACCCUUAAACCCUUAACCAGACUAAGGAGCCGGCAUCAGGCACAACAUUUGCCCACAACGCCUAGUCCCACCACGCCCCCAAGGGCAUUCAGCAGUGAUAGAUAUUGCUAAUAAGCGACAGCUUGACCCAGUUAAAGAAAAUAGAGCCGGCCAACUCGGUGCCAGCCGCCGCGGCUAAACCGCAUGGGCUCAAACUGAUAGUUACCGGCGUUAAGCGUGAUUAAAGUUUCCCCCCAAAUUAGAGUGAAACCUAUACUUAGCCGUGAAAAGCUUGAACUAGAGAAAAUCAUAAACGAAAGUUACUCUAAUUAAUCACUUGAAUACACGACAGCUAGA